GCUUCCAAGGCUAGUGAAGCAUGGACAGGGAUUUUUUUGAUGUAUGUGCAGCUAUCAGUUUUUCUAUUGCUAAUUGGGCUCAAACUGUGUUAGCUUUGAUUUUUAAUGUUCUGUAAUUUGCUACAUAAGCCUCAGUUUCUGCAGCAGCUGUAUAAGCAGGGCUGCUUUCAUCAUAUCCUGCAGCUAUUUUGCAAUCUUGGGCUUUUUUAUAUAACUACCAUAUACUAUUCUUGCCUUCCCUGAAAAGUGAAUGACAUCUCUUCCCCAGUACUGUACAACCUGAGGAAUGUACAUUUUGUAAGGGACAUCAGAUAUCAAGUUAGUGAAUUUUUUUCAAGCAAAACCUGCUAGAGAGAAGAAAAAUGAACAUACAAUUUGAUUACAAUCAAGUGUUCAAGCUAACACUUUCAUUCCAUCACUCCCAAAUUUUUUACAGCCUAUACCACUUACUACUGAUAGACACAACAUCUCCACACCUCACAUCAUCAGAAGAACACAUUUGCAACUGCUCUCAUCCAGAUCCCACAGCAGCUAACAGAAGCCUGUCCAGCACAAGACAUGGGUUUCUCCUCUGUGGCUGCUCUCAAAACAUAGAAAUCAGCUCACAUACACUAGCUCACCAAGCCUCCUUCACCUGCCUGCAUGCAUAAUAAAAACAGGAUGUAAAUAAUGAGAUUUCCUUUUUUAAUAAAAAUGUGUUGUCAUGGUGAGAUUCAGGGUUUGAAUGAUGCUGACUUCAGUCUUAGGUCUUGUGACUCGAUAUGAGGUGUAUAUAAGGCUGGUGUAUUUUGAAAGUCCUUGGCUCAGACUAUCCCACUUGUUCUCACCAUUCUGCCUGGUUUUACUCCAGCCAGCGCUGCUACACUGGUGUCACCAUGCUCCUACUCUCUUCUUGACGGCAAGAGACAGUUGUGUUUAUUUCACUAUCAGUAUAAUACUGUUAAUUCAGCCCCGUGGGCUGCAACACAGGUGAUGCUGCCUGAGUGCCCCCCUGGAAAGAAAAGGCUGUGUCAACUCCCCUCAGUGCACCCACCAUUGCUUUCCAGGGUGUUUCAAUCACAUCCUGCUGUGUAAACCUUCCUAGGCUUCUUUUCUGAUGCUGAUAUAAAUCUAGACCAUUGCCACCAAUGUCAGCGAGAUGAUACCGAUGUCACACUCACUGGUGAGAGAACAGUCAGGAUUUCUGUAUCCAUCUUUUACACAUCUUUGCCUUAGCACUGUUUUGGUUUGCUUUCUUUUGAUGAGAGAGGAACAAAAAAGCAUCUUACCCUGUGACCAUCUCAAGGUCCCAAUGCAGCAAUGUAGUUCUGUGCCAUUUGAUGCCAAGCCUGAACCUUUGUGUCACUGCCAUGAGUCUCGAGCUUUGUUUCAAGUUGACCGCUCAAUGUGCUUUUCUGAAUCUAAGUAAUUUCUAAUUCUGUGAAGCCUGAGUAAUUCUUUCACUUAAUGUUCAUUCUGCUCUCCAUUCAUUUUACUUAGCACCAUAUUUUAGCAUUAUUUUAUUUUUCUAUGAUAUUGUCAGGAAGCGAUACACAAUAUGGGUUGCUUAGAUGCCUACAUGGGCUUAGAUGCUUACGACUUUUCUUAAUGUAAGCCUUCUCCAUUUUCAACCAAGAAUUCUUACUAAAGAUGACAUAUAGGAUAUGUUAUUAAUUAUGCCAGGAUUACCAUAUGAUGCUAACAAUAAUCAGGUACAAGACAUCUGUCCCUUAGUUCCACCUAUUGGAAAAGCAAAUCCUUUAAUACUUUGCCAUUCCUCAGC
ensembl:lncRNA